rnacentral:rRNA from 1 species
AACGAACGCUGGCGGCAUGCCUAACACAUGCAGGUCGAACGAGACCUUCGGGUCUAGUUGCGCACGGGUGCGUAACGCGUGGGAACCUGCCCUUAGGUUCGGAAUAACUCCCCGAAAGGGGUGCUAAUACCGGAUAAUGUCUUCGGACCAAAGUUUUAUCGCCUUUGGAUGGGCCCGCGUUGGAUUAGCUCGUUGGUAGGGUAAAAGCCUACCAAGGCGACGCUCCAUAGCUGGUCUGAGAGGAUGAUCAGCCACACUGGGACUGAGACACGGCCCAGACUCCUACGGGAGGCAGCAGUGGGGAAUAUUGGACAAUGGGCGAAAGCCUGAUCCAGCAAUGCCGCGUGAGUGAUGAAGGACUUAGGGUUGUAAAGCUCUUUUAACCGGGAUGAUAAUGACAGUACCGGGAGAAUAAGCUCCGGCUAACUCCGUG